CAAAUUUAUUGCAAAGUAUAAAGACGGUCUUUUGUGCUCGCUGGUGCGGAGGGUGGGGUAGACCUAGGCGGCGGAGGUGCGGCGGCCGACCGCAGGAGGCGGUGCGGUAGGUGGCGGCACGGCAGGAGGGGCGUGGCGCCGGACGGAGGAGAGGCGGCACGGGAGGAGGAGCGCGGCAGGCUCAGGAGGCACGCGCCAAGCGGCUGCGUCUCCGGGUCCGGUCGGGCGAGGCCCGGGCGCGGCGGCUGGCGCUGCCCGACGAGUCGUGCGAGGAGCGGCGGUGCCCGUUGCUGGCCCUCCUCCUCCUCCUGCGCGCCCUCCGCCCCAUCGCAGUCUUAGUCGCGUGCAGCCUAGGCCGUACGACGAGGAGAGGGAAGGGUUCAGCGGGACCUAGAGCGCUACGACCUCCACCGGCGGCAGCAACGAUACCUCCCGAGCGGUGGGCGGAGGCCUCAGGGUGCAGGGGCUCUAGUUGCCCUAACGGUUCGGCUCCAGUAGUAAAGAACUGCCCGAGGAGGUAGUGAAGACCAAAGGGUGUCACCGAUACCCGACGGAGAGGGAGAGCUAGGACGCGAGGAGGAGGAGGCCAAGUCCAAAGUCCGGCACCGACUCCCAGCGGAGAGGUAUAGGUAGGAAGGUUAGACCUCGUGUCCACCUCUCGGACCGACACACGCCGCCUCUACCGCGGGGCGUAGACGCGGGAUAUUCGGGCCUGUCUCGAGGCGGCUCCGGUACUGGAGGCAUCCAUAGCUAGAUUUUUUCCGGCGGUUGGGUUACCUUAGAGAGGGACAGAGAAAGAAGACGUAGAAGGAGUAUGAUAGGUGACCUUAGAAUCAAAAACAUCAAUCAUCGUCUCUGAGUUAACGACGUAAAAAACGGACAUGUAGAAGUAUAUCCUAAGCUAUCGGUACGGGACCUCUCUCUGUCGAGUGUUUAAUCAGGUCAAUUGUUCUGCGUUAACUUGGCUUUUAGAAUGCUCUACCGAACGUUUAGGUCCAUAGUUUGUCUUAAAACCAUUAUAUAUAAUACAUAUGCCAUGAACCUUCCCUACGAAUGGUCCAUUUAUGGUGAAUUUUAGAUCCAGGUCAUUGAUAGGUCAACGUCUAAGUGACGUUCAAACACGCUGUCUAUAAGUAUAUAUAUCUAGUUGAUCCUAAAUCCAAAUUGAGAUACCAUGUUAACUUUCUGAUCCCUCUUCUCCCACCUAACAUGAUGGACUAACGAACGACAUGUAGGCUUUCUCUAAGUCAACGAGACUUAUAAGAAUAAACGGUGUACCAGCGGUCACACUUAUCGCGGAAAUCGCUAAACAUGUUGUUUGUCUGGUUCGAGAUGUAUUUUACUAAAACAAAAGUACUCACUUAGAAAAUUACUGCAGUAAUGGUAGGUCGGUAGAACGGAAAGGUUGCUUGUUGUAUGUUCGAAACAAGAGACUUCAAAUUCUUAUCACGUUGGUAGAACGGAAGGUUUCUUACUGUAUAUAUUAAAAUUGGAAUUAUCACGUCGGUCGAUCUACAUCACGUGAAUAGAGAUUCGCGUCGAGGAGAAAUUAGGUAUUUGAAUAGGCAUUGGUUUCCGAUCUGCAUAUAAGUUACAUUAAGAUAAGUAACUCAACUCAAAGAAUGAAGCCAUACCGGACCCCAUAUCAUUCAAGGUAAAAGUUACAAGGUCCCUGGUGAAGGUCAUUCAAACGUGAGCUGUAGUCGUCAUUACAGGUGAUGGACAUAGUCGUACCAAUAGCGUCAUCUAUUAGUCCCGUUUAUAGUAUUCGUUUAAUGUUGAAAUCUUAGAGACUUAAGAUUAUCUAAAGAUUAUAGGAAGUUUUCUACUACACACUCGCGAGAAAUCUAUAAGGUCAUUCAAGGAAAGAUGUCCACAAGAAUGUAGAGGACUUACCUACUAAGAGAAACGUAAAGCCGGCGAGCCGGGUGAAGGUUACUAGGUGAUGUAGUAGUGACAAACCAUUGACCAAUCUAUGAGAAGUUAGAGGAAUAUCUUUCCAGGUGUUUACGUGUUAGUUAUCUAUGUAUAUCUUGAUACAUUCAGACUUGUAUGUACACCCAGUUUUGUACCACGCGAGGUGGUUCGAAGAGUUAGAACAGGUGGUCAAAGCCGCAUAUGGAACCUGACUUUAUAAUUCUCCAAUAGUCUUGUUGAUGUCGCUUAUAUUAGUGAGAAAAGUCUGGUUUAUUCCUUAGUUAGAAUACUACCAACUAUGAACUACGUCGCCUCCUAGUGUCCACAUGACGGUCGUCAAAGUUAAAUUGGCCCACCAACGGUAGUAGCACUCUGAUGGUUGACCUCCUCGACUUUGCCGAGAAAUAAGGUCGGCAUAGGCUACGGGGCUCGGCCUUGAAAGUCCGGUGGAUGUCGUGUGCCACGAGCGCCGCGCGGCAACCGCGGCCGCAGCCGCCCCUGUGCCCUUCCACGAGCAACGGCGCGAGGGCCUUGGGGAGUUCGUCGAGUACGAGCAAGCCGGAACGUCCUACCGCAACAUCGUGAUAGCAACCUACACUUAGCGUAGUUUUAGCCUUAAUCAGACGCGCGAUUACACCGCACAAAGGCGGAAACGAUGUGACACUAACUGACUACCAAUCUAGCAACUACGACGUCAGACUCCAGAGCCCCCACACAGAACACGAAUUAAAAACUGCGGUGCUCGAGGACCACUCAAACGAGGGGACUCAGUAAUAUCUCCCUCACUCUACCAGUCUUCCCUCUUCUUGUUUUUUGGAACGACGGCCUCUACUGUAGAGGUGGUAAAACACACACAACCUCACUAACUUGGUACCGUUAGUCUCGACCGUAUAUAUAAGGUAAGACAUGUGGUUCUCUAAUACAAUAAAAGGAAAAUGACUUCGUUAAUACUAACUCAUCAUGUAACAAUAGUAAGAGUUGUUGAAGUAAGUACUGUGGAAACUAUGAGUACAUACUCUUUCUUGAAAGUCACUAACUCAAUGAAAUAAACUGAAACACAACAAGUCCUCCCCUCCGGCGUUCCGCCCUUUCGGUCGUCGCCUUAAGAAAAGCCCCUACGCACCUAGACCACUACGACCUCGUCCCCUUGUCCUUUGUAGUGUAGGCGUUGCCGCAAAGUUUAUCGGUUAAAUGGAAAGAGGGAUUUCUCCCUUGUAUCAGACUACCCUGUCGAGGACUUAGUUACAGUGUAUUCCUUUGUUGAAUGAACCUCCUCAACUUCCUCAACUCUACUCAACUAGUGUAGGAGUACACAGAAACGUACAACGUUGUCCCCGUCACAUGAAAAAAAAUAUCGUUUUGUAAGGAUGAAAUCUAUCUUCUUGAAUACCCCGUGUAGUCUACAUGACUGGUGAGGAAUCAGGCUUCCUGCCCUCAUUGUUAAAAAGAGUUCAAGACGACAACAUAACAUGAUCUUCAGACAAGUAGUUUGACGGAAUAGUUGGUAGACGAUAAUUGGGAGUUUGUAGAUUGUAAAAAAAAAAACUGUAGGAGUUUGUAGAAUGUAUAAAGAAUCGUCGACGGAAGACUGGGAGGGGAAGUGGGAAAAGCCUAUCAAAAAAAAACACUUAUGGGAAAGGACUAUCGAUACAGGGUGGUAGACGUAGUCUUGUUCUCUUUCCCCGUCUACUAGACAACCAGUGUCUCUGUAACGAAGGACGUUAACUAGUUCCCGGUCGUUUUUAUAUCUCUAAAGUUAAUUAAAAUGGC
rnacentral:rRNA from 1 species